CGGCCAUAUGACCUUGAAGCACCGGUUCUCGUAAGAUUACCAUAGUUAAGCAACGUCGAGACAGUUCAGUGCCUAGAUUGGUGACCCCCUGGGUAUACCAAGUGCU